rnacentral:tRNA from 1 species
GGCUUGAUGGCGAAAUUUGGUCAAACGCGUCAGACUUAAAAUCUGGUGGUCCGUAAGGACCGUGCGGGUUCGAAUCCCGCUCGAGCUA